CAAAGGGGCAAAAGCGCGAUGAGGGUUCCCAAGUGCUUGCCUUAAGUGUAGGCUGUUUCUUUGUUUCCCCUGAAAAGAGAGGAAGGGCUGGGUAAGACGGGUGCCAGCCCCCGCGGUAAUACUUGCAGCUCAAGUGGUGACCGCUAUUAUUGGGCCUAAAACGUUCGUAGCCAGCUGAGUAAAUGCUUGGGUAAAUCGUGCCGCUUAACGGUACGAAUUCUGGGUAGACUGCUCAGCUUGAGACCGGGAGAAGCUAGAGGUACUCCUGGGGUAGAGGUGAAAUUCUGUAAUCCUGGGGGGACCACCAGUGGCGAAGGCGUCUAGCUAGAACGGGUCUGACGGUGAGGGACGAAACCUUGGGGCGCAAACCGGAUUAGAUACCCGGGUAGUCCAGGGCGCAAACGCUGCUUGCUUGAUGUUAGCUGGGCUCCGAGCUCAGCUAGUGUUGGAGAGAAGUUGUUUUUUUUGCUGCCCGGGAAGUACGAUCGCAAGAUUGAAACUUAAAGGAAUUGGCGGGGGA
rnacentral:rRNA from 1 species